rnacentral:rRNA from 1 species
AUGCAUUCUUUCUUCGGCAUGGUUGGUUCUCACAAUGAUAUUAGUGUUCUUCAACGUUCUCCCGUGUUUGCAAGGCUUGAAGAAGGCCACUGCCUAGCGGUCAACUUUGAGAUCAAUGGCCACCUGUACAACAAGGGAUAUUACCUUGCUGAUGGCAUCUAUCCACAGUGGUUGACUCUUGUGAAGACCAUACCCAAACCGCAAGGAGAGAAGAGACAGAGGUUUGUCCAAAUGCAGGAGAGUGCUAGAAUGAUAUGGAGCAUGCUUUCGGUGUGCUUCAGUCUCGACGGGGUAUCGUUCGAAACCCUGCAUUGA